UUUCUUUUCUCUUGUUAUGCAUGAAAUCAAGCACAUACAAGCUUUUUUGUGCAACCGAGUACUGAGACAUUGGUUUCAACCAACACCACUUGAAGAUGGGAUAUGGGGAGUAUACUUGGUUCAAUUCAAGCAAAAUGAAACCAUCCCACCAAGCAGGUGAUCAUAAAAGAUGACUACUCAGACAACAGGAUGUGAAGACUAAAUAAUGUAACUUAAAAAACUAGAGAGGUUACUAUGUUUUUUUGUGUAUUAUAAUCUAAUUUAGAGUGUUGUAAUGAUUACGAUUCACAUUACGAGUGAUGUAUAUGUUUUUACUUUUAUUUUGAUGUAAAUAUACUUACUUAAUUACUUUAAAGGUUUAUAUUGUUGAAGUUGAUUUUA